UUUUUGAAAAUAAUAAAAAGUCUAAUCUGCCCNCUGAAUUUAUUUAAAGGGCUGCAGUAUACUGACUGUACAAAGGUAGCAUAAUCAAUAGUCUUUUAAUUGAAGACUUGUAUGAAUGAUUUGAUGAAAUAUGAACUGUCUCUUUUUUAAAAAUAAAAUUUAAUUUUUUAGUUAAAAAGCUAAAAUAAUUAUAAAAGACGAGAAGACCCUAUAGAGUUUUAUAGUUACUUAAUUUAAAAAUUUUAUAUAUAAUUUAAAUUUAAAAUUAAUUAAUUAUUUUAUUGGGGUGAUAGAAAAAUUAAAAAAACUUUUUUUUAAAAAUUUAACAUUAAUUUAUGAAAUUAUGAUCCAUAAUUUAUGAUUAAAAGAAUCAAUUACCUUAGGGAUAACAGCGUAAUUUUUUUUUUUAGUACAAAUAAGAAAAAGAGUUUGCGACCUCGAUGUUGGAUUAAGAUAAAAUUUAAAUGCAAAAGUUUAAAAUUUUUGAUCUGUUCGAUCAUUAAAAUCUUACAUGAUC
rnacentral:rRNA from 1 species